UAUAUAGCAUGAUACAUAUCCCUGCUUGAGUGUGCGAGCAUACUUGACCAAUAAAACUGAUUCUGAAUCUGAUUCAGAAAAAUGGCAGUGAUCCGUACGGAAGCCGAAGGAAUCGACUCAUAUUGAAGAGCUAAGCCAAAGGAUUCGGUUCACUUAAAAGAGCCAGUGCUUUCCAUCAUUGAAGGAAGUGAAGUGCGCGGUGAAAAAGCAUCAUAAUGGACGCUACAGUGGCAUGUAAUAAUUGUGGCUUACCGUACACGUUGUCUGAGGGUGAGGUUGUGGGGAGGCUGCCCCAUGUGCUCUUCUGUGUGGAGUGUCUCUGCUCUCUGGAGUGUCCUCAGGACUCCAACUCUGUCCCCUCAGUCAGCUGUCCCGAGUGUAGGGUGAGCACUGUUCACAACUCCUGUCCAUGCAGCCAUCACUCCCUUACUGCGCUACAGCAUGUCAACCAGCUUUCACAACUCUUUUAGGGAAAGUAGCUAAAGCAUGCUCAAUUUGUCACCAGAUGACACCAUAGACUAAUUUUUUCUAAUUACCUAUGAUAUGGCAAUGAAUAUUACUAACUAGUUUUAAAAAAGAAAGAGAGGCAGAUAGGGUGCCGAUACUUGUAGAGUUGCAUAGAUAUAUCAUGAACAUGCACAUUUUUUAAACGUGUCUACAAAUGAAGAAGGCAGGCAAAAAGAAGUCGUGAAAGACGGUUUUUGCUAUGUGGGCCAAUCUCAGCUGAAAGCAGGUGUACUUGCGGCAGGUCCAUACUCUGUGUAGCGGUGUGUAUCUGCUUUUUCGAGUUCGUUAAGUCACAGACGGGCCACAGCUAAAAUUAAGGAGCUCAGCCGCCUGGAAAACACUUUUGACGGUUAAAUCAGUUAGGAUACUCGAGGCUGCAGUCAUUCUUCGUUUUCAAGAGGAAUCAUUUCAGCUGAAGAAGACAGCGAUAAAGAGGGCAGGACCUGGCCAGACCUCCAGUCAGACGUGGAAGUGUCUGGGUAAAGACCACCAAGGUCCAUGCUGAGGGAGGUGUUAACUAAAUUAGAGAUGGUGCUGGACCAACAAACCACUGAGAUUGCUUCAACUACAGGAGGUCCAGGUGCAGCCUUUGGAUAUUGAUGAAGAUUUACUGCCCCUGCAAGACCUUCCUCAACUGUGUAGUCUGGAGCGAAGGAUGCAACAGAGCCCAGAUUACAAGCAAAAUCUGGGCGGAUGUGCUCAACUGCACCUGGUGCAUAUUGGUGAUUACUAACUCCCUGGAAAAGAACCUCAAUUGGAGGGGAAUCAAUAGAAAGACUUCACUGUCCGCUCUCCAACUCGGAGAGGUCGUGAUUGUUCAUAGAAACCUCUUUACGGCUAAUGCUGCAGAGAUGGAGGUCGAGAGGACCAUGAAGAGGUGGCUCCAGCUGGCAUCAGAUCAAGAGUGUGAGUGCAAGAGAAGUCUUUUGCAAAAGGAAGCUACCAGGAAUCCUGAAGAAGGACGAGUGCAUUGGAGCAGUCGUGCCGCAUGCGGGGGCAAACAUCAGGCUUCGGCAGACAGAGGUUCUGAAGAGGGCCAGCCUGAUCGAGACGGUAUGAGGCAGAUCACCCACCGCGAAGAUCAUCGUCUCUGGACCUCUUCCCUCAUACAGAUGUGGAGCUGAAAAGUUCAGUAGACUUCUAGCAUUAAAUGAUUGGUUAGUUUCUUGGUGUAAUUAACAGGAAUCUGCUGUUUGUUAAUAACUGGAAUCUGUUCUGGGAGCGUCCUAGGUUGUUUCGUCCUGAUGGCCUGCACUCCAGCAGCUUCGGAGCGGAACUGCUGUCUGACAACAUCUCCAAGACACUACAACCCAAGUGACUGCCUACCGUCAAAUUAUUCGUAAACAUGGAAUGAACUUCCACUGUUAUGCUGAUGAUACAGAGCUGUAUGUUUGCAACUGAACAAUAACAACAAUAAACAACACUGAAGAAUAGCGAAAAACUCCAACUGUUUUCGUGCUUACUUGAAGACGAUGAGGCGGAGCAGCAUCGGAGAGACAGUUCGCUCCAUUCUCCAAAGAAUCGGGGAGAACAGUCUGUGGUGUAUGUUUUCGUUGAAAGCGCC